rnacentral:rRNA from 1 species
AGAGUGAACGCUGGCGGUGGGCCUAACACAUGCAAGUCGAACGGCAGCACAGGAGAGCUUGCUCUCUGGGUGGCGAGUGGCGGACGGGUGAGGAAUACAUCGGAAUCUACCUUUUCGUGGGGGAUAACGUAGGGAAACUUACGCUAAUACCGCAUAAGACCUUCGGGUGAAAGCCGGGGACCUUCGGGCCUGGCGCGGAUAGAUGAGCCGAUGUCGGAUUAGCUUGUUGGACGGGGUAAAAGCCCAACCAAGGCGACGAUCCGUAGCUGGUCUGAGAGGAUGAUCAGCCACA